CUUCGCUACAUCUCAUGCAUCGCACCACAAAACCAGCCUACAAGUACGUAGAUCACUAACACAUAUUUUAUAACAAUUUUGUUUGCCACUUGUAUAUAAACAAACGCAGACCAACUUGAGAAUUAAUAUAAUUAUUAAUUGAUAACCUUUUUAUCGUGACAAUGAAGGUCGUGUGUAUCAUUGUGGCUUUAUCAGCUCUAUGUCAAAUACAAUCGCUGGACUACAGACUCUGCCAGGAAACGCCAAAGGAAAAACACUGCCUUAUAGAGUACAGCGUUCGAUACAGAUGGCCACAUGAGCUCAGAUACGUGUACAACUGGCACACUAAGUCCUGCUUCGAGAUCAGAUGGUCGGCCCACUGCGAGGCGGUGACGUCAC